UACGUAGGGUGCGAGCGUUAAUCGGAAUUACUGGGCGUAAAGCGUGCGCAGGCGGUUUUGUAAGCCAGAUGUGAAAUCCCCGGGCUUAACCUGGGAAUGGCAUUUGGGACUGCAAGGCUCGAGUGUGGCAGAGGAGACUGGAAUUCCUGGUGUAGCAGUGAAAUGCGUAGAUAUCAGGAGGAACACCGAUGGCGAAGGCAGGUCUCUGGGCUAACACUGACGCUCAUGCACGAAAGCGUGGGGAGCAAACAGG
rnacentral:rRNA from 1 species